CCUACGGGCGGCAGCAGUGGGGAAUAUUGGGCAAUGGGCGCAAGCCUGACCCAGCAACGCCGCGUGAAGGAAGACGGCUUUCGGGUUGUAAACUUCUUUUCUGAUGGACGUAGAAAGUGACGGUACCUCAGGUAUAUGCCACGGCUAACUACGUGCCAGCAGCCGCGGUAAUACGUAGGUGGCAAGCGUUAUCCGGAUUUAGUGGGUGUAAAGGGCGUGUAGGCGGGAAAGCAAGUCAGAUGUGAAAACUCAGGGCUCAACCCUGAGCCUGCAUUUGAAACUGUUUUUCUUGAGUGCUGGAGAGGCAGUCGGAAUUUCGGGUGUAGCGGUGAAAUGCGUAGAUAUACGGAGGAACACCAGUGGCGAAGGCGGAUUGCUGGACAGUAACUGACGCUGAGGCGCGAAAGCGUGGGGAGCAAACAGGAUUAGAUACCCGGGUAGUC
rnacentral:rRNA from 1 species